AUUGAACGCUGGCGGCAUGCCUUACACAUGCAAGUCGAACGGUAACGGGCCUUCGGGUGCCGACGAGUGGCGCACGGGUGAGUAAUACAUCGGAACGUGCCCGAACGUGGGGGAUAACGAGGCGAAAGCUUUGCUAAUACAGCAUACGAUCUACGGAUGAACGCAGGGGCCCGCAAGGCCUUGCGCGGACGGAGCGGCCGAUGGCGGAUUAGGUAGUUGGUGGGAUAAAAGCUUACCAAGCCGACGAUCUGUAGCUGGUCUGCGAGGAUGAUCAGCCACACUGGGACUGAGACACGGCCCAGACUCCUACGGGAGGCAGCAGUGGGGAAUUUUGGACAAUGGGCGCAAGCCUGAUCCAGCCAUGCCGCGUGCAGGAUGAAGGCCUUCGGGUUGUAAACUGCUUUUGUACGGAACGAAAAGCCUUCUUUUAAUACAGGAGGGUCAUGACGGUACCGGAAGAAUAAGCACCGGCUAACUACGUG
rnacentral:rRNA from 1 species